rnacentral:rRNA from 1 species
GGAAUUGACGGGACCGCACAAGCGGUGGAUGAUGUGGUUUAAUUCGAUGCAACGCGAAAACCUUACCACCUUUGACAUGUACGGAAUCCUUUAGAGAUAGAGGAGUGCUCGAAAGAGAGCCGUAACACAGGUGCUGCAUGGCUGUCGUCAGCUCGUGUCGUGAGAUGUUGGGUUAAGUCCCGCAACGAGCGCAACCCUUGUCAUUAGUUGCUACAUUCAGUUGGGCACUCUAAUGAGACUGCCGGUGACAAACCGGAGGAAGGUGGGGAUGACGUCAAGUCUUCAUGGCCCUUAUAGGUGGGGCUACACACGUCAUACAAUGGAUGGUACAAAGGGUCGCCAACCCGCGAGGGGGAGCCAAUCCCAUAAAGCCAUUCGUAGUCCGGAUCGCAGUCUGCAACUCGACUGCGUGAAGUCGGAAUCGCUAGUAAUCGUGGAUCAGAAUGUCACGGUGAAUACGUUCCCGGGUCUU